AGCGAACGCUGGCGGCAGGCUUAACACAUGCAAGUCGAACGGGCACUUCGGUGCUAGUGGCAGACGGGUGAGUAACACGUGGGAACGUACCUUUCGGUUCGGAAUAAUACAGGGAAACUUGUACUAAUACCGGAUACGCCCUUCGGGGAAGAUUAUCGCCGAUAGACCGGCCCGCGUCUGAUUAGCUAGUUGGUGAGGUAAUGGCUCACCAAGGCGACGAUCAGUAGCUGGUCUGAGAGGAUGAUCAGCCACACUGGGACUGAGACACGGCCCAGACUCCUACGGGAGGCAGCAGUGGGGAAUAUUGGACAAUGGGCGAAAGCCUGAUCCAGCCAUGCCGCGUGUGUGAUGAAGGCCUUAGGGGUUGUAAAGCACUUUUGUCCGGGAAGAUAAUGACUGUACCGGAAGAAUAAGCCCGGCUAACUUCGUGCCAGCAGCCGCGGUAAU
rnacentral:rRNA from 1 species